rnacentral:lncRNA from 1 species
GGGCUGAGGGUGACGGCGCCCAGUCUGGAGGGUUUGUACUGGUUUAUACUGGUUUAUACUGGGAGAGAUGGGUUAUACUGGUUUAUACUGGUUAUACUGGGUUAUACUGGUUUGGACUGGGUUAUACUGGGAGAUCAGCAGCGAGGACGGGCUGAGGGUGACGGCGCCCAGCCUGGAGGGUUUGUACUGGUUUAUACUGGUUUGUACUGGUUUGGACUGGGAGAGAUGGGUUAUACUGGUUUGGACUGGUUUAUACUGGUUAUACUGGGUUAUACUGGUUUGUACUGGGUUAUACUGGUUAUACUGGGUUAUACUGGUUUGGACUGGUUUGGACUGGUUAUACUGGGUUAUACUGGUUUGGACUGGGAGAUCAGCAGCGAGGACGGGCUGAGGGUGACGGCGCCCAGCCUGGAGGGUUUGUACUGGUUUAUACUGGUUUGGACUGGGAGACAUGGGUUAUACUGGUUUGGACUGGUUUAGAGUGGUUAUAUUGGGUUAUACUGGUUUGUACUGGUUUUACUGGCUAUACUGGUUUAUACUGGUUUGUACUGGUUUGGACUAGGAGACACUGGUUAUACUGGUUUGUACUGGUUAUACUGAUUUAUACUGGUUUGUUUUGUACUGGGUUAUACUGGUUUAUACUGGUUUGUACUGGUUUCUACUGGGUUAUACUGGUUUAUACUGGUUUUACUGGUUUAUACUGGUUUGUACUGGUUUAUACUGGUUUAUACUGGUUUAUACUGGUUUGGACUGGUUUGGACUGGGAGACAUGGGUUAUACUGGUUUGGACUGGUUUGUACUGGUUAUACUGGGUUAUACUGGUUUGUACUGGGAGAUCAGCAGCGAGGACGGGCUGAGGGUGACGGCGCCCAGUUUGGAGGGUUUGUACUGGUUUAUACUGGUUUAUACUGGUUUAUACUGGUUUGUACUGGUUUAUACUGGUUUGUACUGGUUUAUACUGGUUUAUACUGGUUUAUACUGGUUUGUACUGGUGAUUUGGGAGGGAANNNNNNNNNNNNNNNNNNNNNNNNN